CAGCGCAGGAAACGAAACCAACAGGGAUUGCCCUAGUAACGGCGAGUGAAGCGGCAAUAGCUCAAAUUUGAAAUCUGGUCCUUCGGGGCCCGAGUUGUAAUUUGCAGAGGAUGCUUUUGGCGCGGUGCCUUCCGAGUGCCCUGGAACGGGACGCCACAGAGGGUGAGAGCCCCGUAUGGUUGGACACCAAGCCUAUGUAAAGCUCCUUCGACGAGUCGAGUAGUUUGGGAAUGCUGCUCAAAAUGGGAGGUAAACCCCUUCUAAAGCUAAAUACUGGCCAGAGACCGAUAGCGCACAAGUAGAGUGAUCGAAAGAUGAAAAGCACUUUGAAAAGAGAGUUAAAAAGCACGUGAAAUUGUUGAAAGGGAAGCGUUUGCGACCAGACUUGCGCCCGUCGAAUCAGCCGUCCCUCGUGGGCGGUGCACUUCGGCGGGCUCAGGCCAGCAUCAGUUUACUGCAGGGGGAGAAAGGCGCUGGGAAUGUGGCUCCUCGGAGUGUUAUAGCCCGGCGCGUAAUACCCCUCGGUGGACUGAGGACCGCGCGAAAGCAAGGAUGCUGGCGUAAUGGUCGUCAGCGACCCGUCUUGAAACACGGACCAAGGAGUCGUCCUAAUAUGCGAGUGUUUGGGUGUCAAACCCCAGCGCGUAAUGAAAGUGAACGGAGGUGAGAGCUUCGGCGCAUCAUCGACCGAUCCUGAUGUUCUCGGAUGGAUUUG
rnacentral:rRNA from 1 species